AGACAGGGUUUGGGUGGUAAGGGAGUUCCAGCAAAUUAAUAGGAGUCCGGGAAGUUUUUGGGGGCUGGGGUCCAGUUGAGGAAGCCACAGGUUCCAGACUGUCAAGAGCUGCGCAGAUGAAGCUGAUGGGGCCUGGACCAUUAGUUAAGAGUCCGCUCCCCUCACCUCCGUGGUUUGGUUCAGUUUAAUGACCCACCCAGAAUGACCUAUUGCUGUCCUCGUCGGGAUCCAUCCUCUCUUAGGUGUUGGCGACCCCCGGGCCUAUCUCAGCCAGUCUGAAUAGGAAGGGAACCACGAGCCUGCCGAGCUCCCCUGACCUAGCCCUCCGCCCCGCCUUUUGUGUUUUAACCUUUUGUUUCUAUCGGCCACACCCGCCCAAAAGAGCGGCGGCUUUUCGUCUCUGUUCAGCGGGGAAGCAGCGAGGUUCCCUCCAGAUAGCGGUGAAGGGCGGCUUCCUAACUUUGUUUCCCAAGUCCCCUAACUUCGGAAUGCUUCUGCAUUGGUUCUUGCUCAGUGUCAUACCAGCGACUCCAAGAGUCAUGUCACCCACUUAGCAGGAGUACUUCUACUGAAAUGCCUUCGAAUUUCUCUUACUGGAUAUAUACCUACCAGCCGCUAGCAUGAAGAUGCCAGGACCGCUGCAAGUUAGCACUGGACAAAGUAGCAUCAACUUCUUCAUUUAGAGUUUCUUCAGUUAAAUUGCUGGGAUUUUCGACAAGGCUUUCCUUAUGUGGAUUAUUGGAGUGUGAUGCCCGAGAAUUCUCUACUUGUAGAAGCACGCCCACGGGACUGCAGAAGCCUUCACACCCACCCAGCACGCUCAGAUGGGAAUGAGUGAUGGCCAUCCAGUGACCAGCUGGAUCUGACUGCCUUACAAGACGCAUGUGUAUGAUUAAGAGAGAGACAUUCGUGACUCCCAGAUGUACCUCCUUCCUGUCCCACAGUGUUCCUGAAGGGAGUGAGUUAUGGGGUAACUUAUAACACAGCAGGCUCUUCCUCAAGAUAGCUCUUGUCAAAACAGGAAGACGAAACUCGGGUUUCCAUGAGGAGACCACAGCUUGGGAUCCUGUCUGGAUGUACAAGCAGAAGCAUCUUCAUACUUUUCCAUUUCUAACCAUCAUGCCUCACCCCACCCUCCCAAGGCGACAUCUGCAGAGAGGAGAAUGAGGAGGAAGAGGAGGAGAAAGAGGAGGAGGAAGUAAGACAGAGGGGGACAAGAGGACCAAGAGGGCACAUGGCUGAGGAGGAGGAGAACAACAACAACAACAACAACAACAACAACAACAAGAAGCUUGGUGUUUUCAGGAUGUGUUCCUGAGUCUCGUGAGUAGCACAUGGCAGUUGUUGUCACCUUGGGCUGAGCCGUGAAGAUUCUCACCCUCCCUUGUUGGGGAUGAACUCCGGGAUUCUAAGGAGAGGUCAGCAGGUGUUUCACAGACUGUUCCUGUUGGAGGAUUUGUCUGAUACUCUUCUCCUGAUUAGUCUGGGCUCUACAUUUCCCCAAGGGUGAAACUUGGAAGCCCUCUCCAGGAUGCAGCAGGUAGCUGAGGAGAAAACGAAGACUGACCAGCCCAGAGCUCAGAGCUUCCUCCCAUGCUCAGGAUUUACCACCAAUGCCAUUACAUCGGCCUCUUCUUGUAUGCCUCUGGAAACCACAUGUGUCCUCUGUUUGUAAUGGUUUGGCUAUGGUUGCUGGCCCCUCUUGGACAUUGUUUUCAGAACUUAAAGAAACAUUGCUUUAAAGAUUUAUUAGAACAUAUUUAAAAUAAAACCAUCUUCUCAUUUA
rnacentral:lncRNA from 1 species